rnacentral:rRNA from 1 species
GAUGAACGCUGGCGGCGUGCCUAAUACACGCAAGUCGAGCGAAGCGGGGACGGGUGAGUAACACGUGGAUAACAUCCUAUAAGACUGGGAUAACUUCGGGAAACCGGAGCUAAACCGGAUAAUUAUAGAUGGAUCUGCGCUGCAUUUGCUAGUUGGGAAGGGAAAGGCUUUCCAAUGCAACGAUGCAUAGCCGACCUGAGAGGGGGGUCUGCCACACUGGAACUGAAUCACCGUCCAACCUCCUACGAUAGGCGUCUGUAGGGAUUCGUCCGCAAUGGUCUAAAGCCUGACGGAGCAACGCCGCGUGAGUGAUGAAGGUUUUCGGAUCGUAAAACUCUGUUAUUAGGGAAGCGGUACCUAAUCAGAAAGCCACGGCUGACUACGUGCCAGCAGCCGCGGUAAUAC